UAUGGGCUACAAAAUAACAGUACUCUUCUGCAGCAGUUUGACAGACAGUGAUGAACGAUCUCUAGUCGAUCUACCGGUAUAUCUACUGAUUUGUAUGAUCAUAUUGGCAAUCAAAAUUCAUGUACAAAACUGUUAGAGGACUCAGAUUUAAUUUGAAAAAAAUAAAGUUCAAAAAUACCAAAAACCCACCAUUUGCUUGACUUGAAUGAGUACACUUCAGUCAAAGGAGACAGCCACAGGGAAUGUUUCUGGUCCACUCUGACUUGAAGCAUGACUUAACCAAAAAAGAGUGAGUGUGGUGCCCCCAACAAGUCCCAUGAAUAUGUUGGACUGCACCCAAACAAAACCUUG
rnacentral:lncRNA from 1 species